AAAAAAUUAGUUAAUGAAUAACAUAAGCUUGUCAAGUUUAAGUAACUAAGUAAUUUUAGUAUUUUUUA
rnacentral:tRNA from 1 species